CAGAAGGAAAGUGCAUCAGAUUUCUCAUCAUGUUCUGGGCUUCCUUCCUUCUCUCAUUGCUGGUGAACUCCUCAGGGUCCUUUGCCCAGUAUGUCCUGACCCAGCCAUCAUCCGUGUCUGUCCCCCUGGAACAGAAUGAAAGGAUCACUUGUUCAGCAAACAACAUUGGAGGAAAGAAUGUUCACUGGUACCAGCAGAAGCCUGAAGAUCCUCCUGUUCUGAUUAUGUAUAAUGAUAACGAGAGGCCCACAGGGAUCUCAGACCGAUUUUCCGGCACCAACUCCGGUAACACAGCCACCUUAAGCAUCUCCAGAGCCCAAGCACAGGAUGAGGCAGUAUAUUACUGCCAGGUGUUUGACAAUGAUCAGUGCACAGUGAUACAAAUUAAGGGGGAAGUGCAGCAAAAACCUGUUUCUGAGGCAUUCAACCUUCUGGGCUGGCUUGGAGAAGCUCAACCGUCCCCAACAAGGAAGAUCUCCCUGUUCCAAGGGCGGGGGGAGGAAUGCCAAGCCAAGAAUCUCUCGGGGGUGAGAUCUACAUUAUAG